UGUUUGAUCAGCUGAUCGUCACUGAACCACAGAGAAUCAUUCAACAGUAAACAUGUAACAUCACACUGACCAGGGAUCAGUCCAUCUCACGUUCUGUUCAUAAACCGGACACAAAUAGGAAGUCUGUGUACAUCAGAGAGACAAACAGGAAGUCUGUGUACGUCAGAGAGACAAACAGGAAGUCUGUGUACAUCAGAGGAACAAACAGGAAGUCUGUGUACAUCAGAGAGACAAACAGGAAGUCUGUGUACACAAGAGGAACAAACAGGAAGACUUCGUACAUCAGAGGGACAAACAGGAAGUCUGUGUACAUCAGAGAGACAAACAGGAAGUCGUACGUCAGAGGAACAAACAGGAAGUCUGUGUACAUCAGAGGGACAAACAGGAAGUCUGUGUACAUCAGAGAGACAAACAGGAAGUCUGUGUACACCAGAGGGACAAACAGGAAGUCUGUGUACAUCAGAGGGACAAACAGGAAGUCUGUGUACACCAGAGGGACAAACAGGAAGUCUGUGUACAUCAGAGGGACAAACAGGAAGUCUGUGUUGGAUUUGAUUUGUUUUUCAUUCUAAUGGAGUCUGUCUGUAAAAUAUAUAAUAAUAAUUAUAGCGACAAUAUUUAUUUAUAUUUAUAUCAUUUCUGUUGUAUGUUAUGGAAACAGUAAAAUGAUGAUUGUGA